rnacentral:lncRNA from 1 species
UUGUAGAGUGUUGAAGUUACAGGUGUGUGCCACCAUAUCUUGACCAAGUUAUUUUUACAUUUAUGGAAAUACUAAUAUUCAAUAAGUGACACAGUAAAAUUAAGACAUACUCUCAGAUGAGCUGGAGAGAUAGCUCAGUGGCUAAGAGCACUGACUGCUUUUCAUUGGCAGCUCACAACUAUCUGAAACUCCAGUUCUAGGACAUCGAGUUCCCCUUUUGGCCUCCAAAGGCAAUAAGCAGGCAAGUGGUGCACAGACAUACAUGCAGGCAAAAUACCCAUACACAAAGAUUUUUUUAGAAAGACAUACAGUUAAUGCAAUAGAAUUAAGUUAUAUAGAAGAAUAUAAGAUCUAAACCAAGUGUGGUCUUACAUGCUUGUAAUCCCAGCACUCAGUGAACUCAAGGCCACUUGAGCUACACCAAAAGUUUCAGGCUAGUUUCAAUGUACAUAGAUUCUCAAAUCUAAAGAUAGAAUCAACUUUGCAAUCAAUACUAAUAAUUUAGGCUGAUACCUAGUGAAAGUAUAAAUCAGUAGAAGAAAGUCUACAGGGAUUAGUGACACAGACACAGGUUUGUUGAGCUGCGUGUCACUGAGCAUCACUGUAACCUCUCUGCUCACAGCUGUCAUUGUGGAGAAUGGCUUACAGAGUGAGGCCAAGCAGAGAUGGCGGGCUACCUGAAAGUAGACUCCCCUCAAAGGAUAAUCUAGGGCACUACUCAUAAAAUAGAGUAAUCCACAUCACCAUUGCCAGUUUGUUUUGUUGUGUAUGCGGCCAACAGCACAUGGAGGUCAGAGGACAACUGCCAGGAGCUGUACUUGGUUGAUGCUGAGUCUUUCCUGUUUCUGCUGCUGCACUGUGCAUACCAAGCCAGCCCUGCAUCUCUCAAUAAAGGCGAUAGAUUUCACAUGCAUUCCAGGGAUCAAAUUCAAGGUUGUCGAGUUAUCCAGCUAGGGCUUUUACCUGCUGGACCCACUCUGUAGCGCCCUGAAUAAAUAAAAUACAUGUGUAUCACGUAGCUUUAUUGUAACUUAUUUUUCUCUUGUAAUUUAAAAAAAUUAUCUAAAUCAUUUUUUUCUAUUGGACAGAGAUAAAUCAAAGUCACGUCCUUUUUUAUUAUAGUUCCUAAUUAUAUUUCCCAGAAAUUAAAAAAUUUGCCAAUAGCAGCUAAAUUCAGAUAUGCACAUUCCCUAAUGUGGAUAAUAAUAUUGUGAUUUACUAACUCUGAUGUUUACAACUCAAGUUCUGUGUAUAUUGCGAUACUGACUAGACUAGCAUUAGCUGUAAGCAUUAAAGUGAUGAUUGAUGAUAGACUAGGAGAAAUGAUAACUGGAUGACUGCUGAGCUGUUAUUAUUCUGUCUGUUGGCUUGAUUAAAUGGUCACCAGACAGCACGAUGAUAUCCUUAACUCAUUUCUUAGACGUAGCUGGGCCUGAAGAGAUGUCUCAGUGGUAUAGAAAGAACAGUUGAUGCUUUUGCAGAGGACCUGCGUUCACUUCUCAGCACUCACAUGAUAGCUCACAACCAUCUGUAACCCCAGUUGCAGGGAAUCUAAUCCCCUCUUUUUGACCUCGUGGUCCACAUAUAUGCAGGCAAAACAUUCAUACACAUAAAAUAUAGUAUAAAAUUCAAAAUUAUAUACAAGUAAAAUGUAGUCACAGAUACCUUAAGUGAUGAGAACUGGGAACAAUUUGGUUAUUUACCAAGGUGGAAAAUCUUUAAAGACUCUGAGUUAUUCUAGUC